GAUACUUUAAAUGAAAAAAUUUACAAUGUAAACACUCAAGUUACAUAAUUCAAUCUUUUUAAUUACUCCCAUUAAAAUCUCAAAUGAAAAUUUAAGAUGACAGUUUUCUUUUAACUUUUGAUUUUCUUUUAUUCUUUAUUUUUUCCUUUUUCUUUCUUUCUUUUUCCUUUCUUUCCAAUUUCCUCUUUUUAUUCUCUAUAUUUCCUUUUUAUUCUCCUUCUUCUUUUGACCCUAACCAUCGUCGGUCGAAGAGUUCCACCGUCGGUGCUUCGACGGACACAAAACCACCACCAAACAAUAGGUCUCCACAACCUUUAUCCAUUCUUUAGUUUAUAUUUUCUCAAAAAGCGGCCAAAGCUUACAAAACCCCAAGCAAAGGUUCGAAGUUGAAAACCCCGAUCUGUCGACAUCCACUGUUGGAUCACCACAAGCCCGAGAUAUAUUUUCCUUGGGUGAGGAUUGCUUAUAAUCUACGCUUUUCAGUUUUUCUCGAGUCGGUCGUGCUUCUCUUCUUCGAGCUUCGUCUUUCUUCCCAGAAAAUCAGCUUCUUCUUGGAGGAUUGCUGGCAAGGCUAUGUAUUUUAAUGAAGUCGGAGAUGGUGGCCACUCAAUUCCGAGGGCUUAUUAGGACCGUCCCUUACUGCCCUCAAUGUUUUUCCAUUGAAUUCAAUGGAUGUUUGCAGCGAAGUGAAGGAAUUGAUGGAUUUGGUAGCGAAGUAAGAAUUGAAGGUGAGUGAAAUCGACCCCAACGAUGAACAACCAUGAGAUGGGUUCUUUCGGUUUUGGACUAAAAUGAUAAUUUGUUAUAUAAAUUUUUAGGGUUAUAUACCUCAUUUAAAUUAGAAGAAAAGUUUGGGGGACUAAAAUGAUAAUUUUUAAUGAAUAACAAUGACCUGAAUUUUAAUUUA